GACACGCGGGUGUACACUCCAGGUUCAUUGGGCUGACCACAGUCGUGACCCCUACUGAUGAUACCAGACUGGACCCACACUGAACACUGCUUACUCACCAUUGGACCACCAGAAUCCCCCUACAACAGAAAAAGAGAGAGCCGGUGAUGUCCAGAGAGACCAGAGAAGCACAUUUGUCCAGACACUCAAAGCCGGUAUCGGUCAGGUUCUCACAGAAACACACGGCCAGCUUCAUGCACAACACGACGCCAAGAUGUAAUGAUGUUUCUGCAGUGAACAGACUCCUGUGCUUUCUGUAGUUUCCUCACAGCAUCUGGAUAACAUAGGUAAAGCCUUCAUGUUACAAUAUUAAUAGAGAACAAAAUGGU